rnacentral:rRNA from 1 species
GGCGCUAGAACAUUGUUCCGAGAUGUUUUUGCUGGUAUUGAUCCAGAUUUGGAUGCUCAAGUGGAAUUUGGAACAUUCCAAAAAGUGGGAGAUCCAACUACAAGGAAACAGGCAGCCUGA